GACGAACGCUGGCGGCGUGCCUAAUACAUGCAAGUAGAACGCUGAGGCUUGGUGCUUGCACCGAGCGGAUGAGUUGCGAACGGGUGAGUAACGCGUAGGUAACCUGCCUGGUAGCGGGGGAUAACUAUUGGAAACGAUAGCUAAUACCGCAUAAGAGUAGAUGUUGCAUGACAUUUGCUUAAAAGGUGCAAUUGCAUCACUACCAGAUGGACCUGCGUUGUAUUAGCUAGUUGGUGAGGUAACGGCUCACCAAGGCAACGAUACAUAGCCGACCUGAGAGGGUGAUCGGCCACACUGGGACUGAGACACGGCCCAGACUCCUACGGGAGGCAGCAGUAGGGAAUCUUCGGCAAUGGACGGAAGUCUGACCGAGCAACGCCGCGUGAGUGAAGAAGGUUUUCGGAUCGUAAAGCUCUGUUGUAAGAGAAGAACGAGUGUGAGAGUGGAAAGUUCACACUGUGACGGUAUCUUACCAGAAAGGGACGGCUAACUACGUG
rnacentral:rRNA from 1 species